CUUGAACCAGACGGGAAAGAAAAAGACUUGAAAGAGACCAAACAAGGUACGAGGAGCAACGCUCCGACAGACACAGAGAGAACUCAGACAUUCGACUGGAGCCCGAGAUAUGUGUGUAACGAAGCUCCGGGACUCUGAAGUCUGAUCCCAUUCGUAACGCGAAAAUUCACUAUAAAUGCCACUCUUCUCUCACACUCACCGCUCUUCGUCUUCUCUCCCAACCUCCUAUGAGUCAUACUCUUCCAAACUUCUCAAGCCCCUAAAACCCAGUUCUGCCCCUCCCACCUCUCGCUUCCCACUCCCCAUUCUCGUCUUUUCACUCCUCUGCUUCCUCUUUGGCCUCUCCGCCACCAUCUUUGCCGUCUACUCUCUCCGCCGUCCCAUACCCGUGCCUAGCUUCCGAUGCGGCCGAUCCGAAGACACCUUUCGGGCAUUCUACUCCACCUCCAGCUCUCGGAAGCUCGGAGAUCGUGGUGCCUUGGUGGAGCGGCCUAAGCUUCUUGGGUUCGUUGGAAUUCAGACCGUUUUCGGCUCCGUUGAUCGCCGGGCAGCUCUUCGGAGCACUUGGUUUCCCUCUGAUCCAGAUGGGCUUUUGAGGUUGGAACAAGCCACUGGUUUAGCUUUUAGGUUUGUAAUUGGACGAUCCAAAAAUUCAAAAAAGAUGGUAGAGCAUCAUGAAGAGGUGGAGAAGUACAAGGAUUUCAUGUUUAUUGAUCUUGAGGAAGAAUAUUUAAAGCUUCCAUACAAAUCGUUGGCAUUUUUCAAAGCAGCGUCUGAACUUUUUGACGCAGAUUAUUAUGUCAAAGCUGAUGAUGCCAUUUAUUUACGUCCUGAUCGACUAGCAACUCUUCUAGCAAAGGAGCGAACCCAUUCACUGACUUACAUUGGAUGUAUGAAGAAAGGACCAGUGAUCACUGACCCUAAAAUGAAAUGGUAUGAGAAAUCGGGACAUCUGAUUGGAUCUGAAUACUUUUUGCAUGCUUAUGGUCCUAUAUUUGUCCUUUCUGCGGAGGUGGUAGCUUCACUAGCAACUGCCAGAAAUAAUAGCCUUCAGUUUGAGGAUGUUUAGCAAUGAAGAUGUCACAAUUGGGUCAUGGAUGCUUGCUAUGAAUGUGCAUCAUGAAGAUAACCGGGCACUAUGUGACCCUCGAUGCACACCUACAUCUAUUGCUGUGUGGGACAUCCCAAAAUGUUCAGUGUGUACUGCUGUGAAUUGGUCUUCAAAUCCUUCACAGGUAAUCCCUACACACUCUUGUAUCUCAUUUACAUUGUUCAAACCUAUCCGAUGAUGAAUUAGCUAUAUUGUUAAUCAGUGGGAGAGAUAUUAGGGGGACAAUAUCUUCUGUAGACUCCGCUCCAAACUGUGGGCCAGGCCUUAUAAAUUUCUCCUCGCAAGGCACCAAUGACGGCCCCAUCCCUUCCUCCACACCAAUUCCUAAAACUCGCAUCUCCUCCACAGCGCCAUUGAUGAUGUCACCACCUUGGCCAAAUUUAUGUGUUGACCCACAAGAUGCCUGAAGAGGUACUGAGGAACUGUUCACUCCGACAUGGGUGGUGGAACCAUGGUCGCCAUUUGAAGUUUGGGGUUAGCAGAAACUCCCCAAAAACUUGGCUAUACCUCAGGUUCCAUUGUGGGUACUGUCAAUUCGACAAAGAUAGCAUUGACUGCCACUCGUCGGUGAACUUUUCCAAGUCACCCUUGGUGAGGGGCAGUCCGUUUCGGCCAUCUCCAUGCUAAUACCCGACAUAGAACCCACUUUGAAUGAAGAUGACCCGCUUCUCCAUUUGACCUGCCACACUCGCCUGGGUCUAGAUAUUGAAAUUGGGCCAAACCCAACUUUCUUUUUUCCUUUAUCUAAUUUUAUAGCAUUCAGCCCAUCACUUAACACGCCAAGCCCACCCUUGUUGGGCCUUACAGUACCAUUACCACCUCUUAGCACACCUAGCCCUUACAGUGCAUGCCAUUGGGAAGACCCAAACCAUCCAAGUCGGACCUGUUCUGACUUAGAAUAUGUCCAUGUGCAAUUUGUAGAGGCUGCAGACCCCUUUCACUGCUUUCCUUUUUGCCCCUAUUCAGAGCUUCUGCAUAUGAUUGCCUUGCCAACGUGGUUGCACUCGGGUCUUUUUGCCUCAGGCCCAUAAUGUUUUUCUCAUGAGUAGAUAAAUUCUUUUGGCUUUUCCCCAAUGACCCAUCUCCAUGAUUGCCAGGAAAAAGAUUAGCGAAUCUACGCAACUCGACAACAAAUUUCUCCUAACCCAGGCCUUCAUAAUCCUAUUUUUUAAAGCCUUGUGCCAUUGGUUCUUUUCUAUUAAGUACCAUGAGAUAAAUUUAUGACGUGAUAUGAAAGAAUGUUAUUUCGUAGAUUUUAAGUGAAGGCAUUUUCUUGGCAAGCGAGAUGUAAUUGUUCUGAGCUGUUCGUUUUUAAUGUCCAUGCUAUGUAGUGACACUCUGGCCUAGACCGCAGAAAGAACUGAUAGUGUACUGUAAUUAUACAUACAAGGAAGAUCGUUAAUAUUUUUAUUUGUCUUGAAAGAGGAGUUGUUAGGACCUGUUUGGGAUUGCGGUGGAAGGUCUAAAAAGUACAAUAGAACGGUAUAAAGUGCUUAUAUGAUAAAAUUUAUCCGUUUGGUAGUUUUACAUUAAAGUACUUUUAGACCAAGAAAAAGCAGAAAACUACGUUUCAACAAAAGUACUAAAGUGAUGCUUUUUGUCAGAAGCACUUCAGAAAAAGUAAUCUCUAUUUUACCGUACUAUGUAUAUUACGAAAUGACCAUCAUCAUUUUAGCACAAUGACAACUUUGUCAAUUUAUAGUUUUUAUUAUUCCCGUAUAAUCUGCUCAAGAUUUUGCCCAUCAAUAUUUUUCAUUCUUUUCCUAUCACUUAUGCAUCGUUGAAGAAAUUUUUUUUUUCAUUAUAAUUAUUGAAAAAUCUAUUAGACUAUUUUUGUUAUUAUUUUAUUAUAAUAUUUUAUUUUUAUCAAGUAUAUGCCCUUUUAUGUCAUUUUUAUGCCAAAAAGUGCCAUUUAAAUUUGUUUCCAUACAAAUUAGUAUUUUUAAAAGUGUUAUAGACAUAAGCAUCUCAAACAAUAAAUAGCUUUUUAACAGUAGAGUUUAUUGCAUUAAGCUCUAAGCUAUAAGCUUUAAAUUAAAAGUAAUAUUUUUUACCGCAAUCUCAAACAUGUACUUAAUCUGAGUUUCAUUUCCUCUUAAUCUGAGUUUCAUUUCCUCAGGAUUUCUCUCAUUCUGAAUUUAGUUGUCGAACCAUGCAAUAAUCCUUGAGGGUUUGACUUCAACUAGUGCAGAAAAUGCAAUUGUUUAACAUAACGUGGCUGUUAACACUUUCGCAUAGAUAAUAUUUACUUUUUCUUGUUUUACCACGAUGAGUGAUUGCCUAUGUAUUGUCGUGAACUCAGUGAAUACUGUACUGAAACCAAGAGGUGCUUUUUCUGUAGCAUGCUUUAUAAUAAGAAAACUAUUGAAAAUUGUCAGGUUUAUGCAACCCAGCUAGACGGCUGAAGGAGCUUCACAAGACGA